rnacentral:rRNA from 1 species
CAGCAGCCGCGGUAAUACGUAGGUGGCAAGCGUCGUCCGGAAUUAUUGGGCGUAAAGGGCUCGCAGGCGGUUUCUUAAGUCUGAUGUGAAAGCCCCCGGCUCAACCGGGGAGGGUCAUUGGAAACUGGGAAACUUGAGUGCAGAAGGGGAGAGUGGAAUUCCACGUGUAGCGGUGAAAUGCGUAGAGAUGUGGAGGAACACCAGUGGCGAAGGCGACUCUCUGGUCUGUAACUGACGCUGAGGAGCGAAAGCGUGGGGAGCGAACAGGAUUAGAGACCCCAGUAGUCCCUGUCUCUUAUAU